rnacentral:tRNA from 1 species
GCAUAUAUAUAGCUCAAAUGGUAGAGUAGCCGACAUGUCUUCGGAAUGUUCUGGGUUCGAAUCCCAGUCUGAGCU